rnacentral:rRNA from 1 species
GACGAACGCUGGCGGCGCGCUUAACACAUGCAAGUCGAACGGAAAGGCCUGCUUUCCCUUGUGGAUUGCGGGUACUCGAGUGGCGAACGGGUGAGUAACACGUGAGUGAUCUGCCCCCAACUUGGGUAUAAGCCUGGGAAACUGGGUCUAAUUCCCGAUAGGACUGCAGGGUGGUGCCUGUGGUGGAAAACGAUUUUCUAGUGGUUGGGGAUGAGCUCGCGGCCUAUCAGCUUGUUGGUGGGGUAAUGGCCUACCAAGGCGGCGACGGGUAGCCGGCGUGAGAGGGUGGACGGCCACAUUGGGACUGAGAUACGGCCCAGACUCCUACGGGAGGCAGCAGUGGGGAAUAUUGCACAAUGGGCGGAAGCCUGAUGCAGCGACGCCGCGCGGGGGAUGACGGCCUUCGGGUUGUAAACUCCUUUCGACCGCGAGGAAGCCACCUGGUUGGAAGGGUGGUGACGGUAGUGGUAGAAGAAGCACCGGCUAACUACGUG